AGUCACUGACAUUAGAUACCCGUGUAGUCCAGGGUGUAAACGCUGCAGACUUGGUGUUGGAAGUCCUUUGGGGGCAUUCAGUGCCGGAGAGAAGUUGUUAAGUCUGCUACUUGGGGAGUACGUCCGCAAGGAUGAAACUUAAAGGAAUCGGCGGGGGAGCACCGCAACGGGAGGAGCGUGCGGUUUAAUUGGAUUCAACACCGUAAAACUCACCAGGGAAGACUGUUACAUGAAGGCCGAGAUGAAGACUCUGCUAGAUUUUCAG
rnacentral:rRNA from 1 species